UUAAACAUCACUUAAAACUCAUACAUUAUGAUCAAAAUGUAUCUGGUCCAAUUUCUUUAGAGUUUGCAUAUCAUUUAUAUUCUUCUUUUGAGUUCCACAUCUGCAAAAAUUGAAAUGAAUGAUGAGUAUAGAUUAAGAUUAAGAUUAAGAUUAAGAUGAAAAUAAGAUAAAUUGAAAAUAAUACAAAGAAAAUAACUAAAGAGAAAAGAGAUGGAAAAUGUGUGAUUUGAAUGUUCAACCAAAGACCAUUUAUAUAGG
rnacentral:lncRNA from 1 species